UCAAGCUACUAAGGGUAUACGGUGGAUGCCUUGGCACCAGCAGGCGAUGAAGGGCGUGGUAAGCUGCGAUAAGCCCCGGGUAGUCGCACACAGACGCCAAUCCGGGGAUUCCCGAAUGGGGCAACCCCCGCCGGCUAAUCCCGGCGGAUCCUGCGCUGAAUCCAUAGGCGUAGGAGGCCAACGCGGGGAACUGAAACAUCUCAGUACCCGUAGGAAGAGAAAGCAACCGCGAUUCCCCCAGUAGUGGCGAACGAAAAGGGAACAGCCUAAACCGAUGCCAUGUGAUAGCCCGCAGGCGUUGUGGUGUCGGUGUCGUGGGGCCUGACCGGUUUCGGCUGCGGCCGGGACGGGGAGUAAGAAAUCCCAAGCCUAACUGAAGCGUCUGGAAAGGCGCACCACAGAAGGUGACAGUCCUGUAAGGUAAAGGAUUGGGACUCCCUGGGUCGGGUUCCCAAGUACCAUGGGACACGUGAAAUCCUGUGGGAAUCCGGGGGGACCACCCUCCAAGGCUAAACACUCGCUGGUGACCGAUAGUGAACCAGUACCGUGAGGGAAAGGUGAAAAGAACCCCGAGAGGGGAGUGAAAUAGUACCUGAAACCGUAUACCUACAAGCAGUCGGAGCCCUAUGUUUUCGCGCAAGCGAAAACAGGGUGACGGCGUGCCUUUUGCUUAAUGAGCCGGCGAGUUACCGUAUGCAGCAAGGUUAAGCCGAUUAGGCGAAGCCGUAGCGAAAGCGAGUCCGAAUAGGGCGAAUGAGUUGCGUGCGGUAGACCCGAAGCCAGGUGAGCUAUCCUUGACCAGGGUGAAGUGGCGGUAACACGCCAUGGAGGCCCGAACUCGUUACGGUUGAAAACGUUUGGGAUGAGUUGAGGAUAGGAGUGAAAGGCCAAUCAAACCUGGAAAUAGCUGGUUCUCCCUGAAAUAGCUUUAGGGCUAGCCUCGGAGGUUCAGCAGCGGCGGUAGAGCACUGGAUGAGCUAGGGCUCUUACCAGGGUACCGACCUCAACCAAACUCCGAAUGCCGCUGACUUUAAUCCGGGAGUCAGACUACGGGGGCUAAGCUCCGUGGUCGAGAGGGAAACAGCCCAGAUCGCCAGCUAAGGUCCCUGAAUGUAGGCUAAGUGGGAAAGGCUGUCACAUCGCUUUGACAACCAGGAGGUUGGCUUAGAGGCAGCCAUCCUUUAAAGAGUGCGUAACAGCUCACUGGUCAAGUGGCGUGGCGCCGACAAUGUAACGGGGCUCAAGCCUACUACCGAAGCUGCGAAUCGUCCACGUUAGUGGGCGGUGGUAAGGGAGCAUUCUGCCGCCAGUGAAGCCGGACCGUAAGGACCGGUGGAGGUUGCAGAAGAGAUUAUGCCGGCCCGAGUAGCGAUAAUCUCGGUGAAAAACCGAGACGCCGUAAGUCUAAGGUUUCCUGGGGAAGGUUAAUCCGCCCAGGGUUAGUCGGUCCCUAAGCCGAGGCCGAAAGGCGUAGGCGAUGGACAACAGGUUAACAUUCCUGUACCACCGGACGACGAUAAAGACGCGAUGGGGGGACGCAGGAGGGUAGGUCAGCGCGCGAUCGGAAGUGCGCGUCUAAGCCUGUAGGGGGCUCCGGUAGGCAAAUCCGCCGGGGCGCAUUCCCUGAGAGGUUAUGGGGAUCCUCUUCUACGGAAGAGGAGAACUGGCUGAGCCCACGCUGCCUAGAAAAUCCUCUAGCGAGUCGUCAGGUGACCGUACCGCAAACCGACACAGGUAGACGGGGAGAGCAUCCCAAGGCGCUCGAGAGAACACGCGUUAAGGAACUCGGCAAAAUUUCCCCGUAACUUCGGGAGAAGGGGAACCGAUCACCGUCAGUAGCUUCGCGCUGCGAAGCGGUGGACGGUCGCAGAGAAUCAGGCCAACCGACUGUUUACUAAAAACACAGGAGGGUGCGAAGCCGCAAGGCGCUGUAUACCCUCUGACGCCUGCCCGGUGCCGGACGGUUAACAGGAGGGGUCAGCCGCAAGGCGAAGCUCUGAAUCGAAGCCCCGGUAAACGGCGGCCGUAACUAUAACGGUCCUAAGGUAGCGAAAUUCCUUGUCGGGUAAGUUCCGACCUGCACGAAUGGCGUAA
rnacentral:rRNA from 1 species